AGGUAAGGGUAACUCAGUUUUAGCGCGUCUUUUAGUCUUGCCUGCUUUUAUCGCACUGCAUGCGUUUGAGAUGAAGAUGUUUAUAUUGAUUGGCAGAUGAUUAUGAUUGUUAUGCUUGCAAUGUUGUAUGUUUGCUUAUAUUGACUGUUUCUGAGGCUUGUGCCAAAUGUUUUCUGAAGGCUUCGGCCGAGUAAACUUAUUGAGACGUGUGUCUCCG
rnacentral:lncRNA from 1 species